UGAACGGACCCUGAGUGGGAGUCCGAGGCCCAGGGUCUUCGUGAGGAGAGGAGACGAGGACAGCCUCGUGUGGAGCGUUUUGGCAGACCACCAAGAGUGGUGCCAUUCGAGGGUCGGCGGAGUUCGGAGGACAUCGACUGGAGGAGAGGAUACCUGAUUCAGCCACACAACCCCACCACCAGCUUGUUCUCUCAAGAAACAUAUACAUCUUUAGAGGACAGUGGUGUUUUCUAACAACCCUUUA